rnacentral:rRNA from 1 species
GAUGAACGCUGGCGGCGUGCUUAACACAUGCAAGUCGAACGAACAGGCGCUUCGCUUGCUCCUCUGUCUUUAGCGGCGGCCGGGUGAGUAACAAGUGGAUACUCUCCUUCUCCGUCUUGGAUCAUAACGGCACACAGGAGCUACUACCAGAUGAUAUCUUGCUUCGCAUGGUUCAUUAGUCAGAGACGGUUUUUCUUUCUCUUCUCGAUGGAUCCGCGCCGCAUUAGCUAGUUGGUAAGGUAACGGCGUACCAAGGCGACGAUGCGUAGCCGACCUGAGAGGAGGGUCGGCCACACUGGAGGUGAGACGCGGUCCAGACGCCUACGGGAGGCAGCAGUAGGGAAUCUUCCGCAAUGGGCGAAAGCCUGACGGAGCAACGCCGCGUGAGUGAUGAAGGUCGUCGGAUCGUAAAACUCUUUUAUGAGGGGAGAACAAAUGUGGAAUUAACUAUGCACGGCUUGACGGUACCUAGUCAGAAAGCCACGGCUAACUACGUG